rnacentral:rRNA from 1 species
UACAGAGGGUGCGAGCGUUAAUCGGAAUUACUGGGCGUAAAGCGCGCGUAGGCGGCUUUGCAAGUCGGGUGUGAAAUCCCCGGGCUUAACCUGGGAGCUGCAUUCGAAACUGUCUUGCUAGAGUAUGGGAGAGGGAGGUGGAAUUUCAGGUGUAGCGGUGAAAUGCGUAGAUAUCUGAAGGAACAUCAGUGGCGAAAGCGACCUCCUGGACCAAUACUGACGCUCAGGUGCGAAAGCGUGGGGAGCAAACAGG